GGGGAAUUUUGGACAAUGGGGGCAACCCUGAUCCAGCCAUGCCGCGUGAGUGAAGAAGGCCUUCGGGUUGUAAAGCUCUUUCGGCCGGGAAGAAAUCGUGCAGGCUAAUACCCUGUAUGGAUGACGGUACCUUGACAAGAAGCACCGGCUAACUACGUGCCAGCAGCCGCGGUAAUACGUAGGGUGCGAGCGUUAAUCGGAAUUACUGGGCGUAAAGCGUGCGCAGGCGGUUGUGUAAGACAGGUGUGAAAUCCCCGGGCUUAACCUGGGAACUGCGCUUGUGACUGCACGGCUAGAGUACGGCGGAGGGGGGUGGAAUUCCACGUGUAGCAGUGAAAUGCGUAGAGAUGUGGAGGAACACCAAUGGCGAAGGCAGCCCCCUGGGUCGAUACUGACGCUCAUGCACGAAAGCGUGGGGAGCAAACA
rnacentral:rRNA from 1 species